UUGAUCGCCGGUCUGGGCCGGUACUCAAUGUCGAAUUCUCCGAGCUCAAUGGCCCAUUUGGUGAUCCGACCCGCACGAUCUGAUCUCUGCAGGAUCUGCUUGACCGGCUGGUCGGUCAGCACAGCCACUGUAUGAGCUUGGAAGUACAGUCGGAGCCUCCGAGCCGAGAUGACCAAAGCAUAGGCAGUCUUCUCAAGCUUGGAGUAUCGGGUCUCGGCG
rnacentral:lncRNA from 1 species